rnacentral:rRNA from 1 species
AGUCAACGCUGGCGGCGUGCCUAACACAUGCAAGUCGAACGAGAAAGGGGGCUUCGGCCCUGAGUAAAGUGGCGGACGGGUGAGUAACACGUGGGUGAUCUGCCCUCCAGUGGGGGAUAACACACCGAAAGGUGUGCUAAUACCGCAUGGAGUUCCGGUUGUCAUGAUCGGAUUGAAAGCAGCAAUGUGCUGGAGGAGGACGCCCGCGCCGGAUUAGCUAGUUGGNGGGUAACGCCCACCAAGCUACGAUCCGUAGCCGCCUGAGAGGUGA